CAAAAAGAACGCACGUAAAUGCGAAAUCAAUGAAGCCUACUGUUCUAAUGUAAUUUGCAAGCGAACAAAUCAAACAGCAAAGUCAAUUAACUAUGUUGCCGUACAUCUCAUAUUACGAUGUAACAAGUGCCCUGUAUGAUGAUCUCAGAUAUGAGGAUUAGUGAUACGCUGAUUUACUCAACCCUGUAGAGUGGUUUAGGGUCGGUCAUCAAAAGGAUACUUUAGCUACUUUACCUGAUUCAGAUGAACUCGUGGAUAUCAUCUGUUUGUCUCCAUGUCCAGCACAAAGGAAGGCACUCAAAGACAAAUGCUCCCUCCCUAAGGGCACUCCAGGAUUCAGCUAUCAACCAAUGCUCUGUGGGUUAUAAAAUACACUGUAUUUAGUACAGGGACUACAGGAAACAGAGUUCACCCCCAUCCACAUCAAUGGUGCUGUUUUGGGGAAGUUCGAGAGCUUCACGUUCCUCAGUGUUUACACCACUACGGAAUUAACAUGGUCCAUACACCCACACAGUUGUGAAGGAACGACAGCACCUCAUCUCCCUCAGCAGACUGAAAAGAUUUGGCAUGGGCCCUCAGAUCCUCAAAAUAUUCUACAGAUCCACCAUUGAGGGCAUCUUUACUGGCUGCAUUACCGCUUGGUACGGCAACUGCAAGGCACCCGACCGCAAGACGCUAUACAGAGGGUUGUGAGUACGGCCAAGUACAUCACUGUGGCCGAGCUCCCUGCCAUCCAGGAACUCUAUAACAGGCGCUAUCAGAAGAAGGUCAUCACAAAUUGUCAAAGACUCCAGCCACCCAAGGCAUAGACCAGGGGUAUUCAACUCUUACCCUACGAGGUCUGGAGCCUUCUGGUUUUCUGUUCAACUUGAUAAUUAAUUUCACCCACCUGGUGUCCCAGGUAUAAAUCAGUCAUUGAUUAGAUGGGAACAAUGAACAAAUGCUGUGGAAUUGACUUUGAGGUCCAGAGAUGAGUUUGAGUGUCAUAGACUGUUCUCUGCAAUCGCACGGCAAGUCUGGAACCAACAGGACCCUGAACAGCUUCUAUCCCCAAGCCAUAAGACGCUAAACAAGACUGCUAAAUAGCUAAUAAAAUGGCUACCCAGACUACCUGCAUUGACCCCUAUACUGACUAUGCACACACACUAGACUCUACCCACACACUCACACAUACUUAACACUG
rnacentral:lncRNA from 13 species